GCAAGUCGAGGGGUAACGGAAGUAGCUUGCUACUAGACGACGACCGGCGCACGGGUGAGUAACGCGUAUGUAAUCUGCCUUGUACAGAGGGAUAGCCCAGAGAAAUUUGGAUUAAUACCUCAUAGUAUUACUGGAUCGCAUGAUUUGGUAAUUAAAGCUCCGGCGGUACAAGAUGAACAUGCGUGACAUUAGCUAGUUGGUAAGGUAACGGCUUACCAAGGCUACGAUGUCUAGGGGUUCUGAGAGGAUGAUCCCCCACACUGGUACUGAGACACGGACCAGACUCCUACGGGAGGCAGCAGUGAGGAAUAUUGGUCAAUGGACGCAAGUCUGAACCAGCCAUCCCGCGUGAAGGAUGACUGCCCUAUGGGUUGUAAACUUCUUUUAUAUGCAAAUAAACCUACUUUCGUGAAAGUAGCUGAAGGUAGCAUAUGAAUAAACACCGGCUAACUCCGUGCCAGCAGCCGCGGUAAUACGGAGGGUGUAAGCGUNAUCCGGAUUUAUUGGGUUUAAAGGGUACG
rnacentral:rRNA from 1 species